rnacentral:RNase_P_RNA from 1 species
AAUCGCUGCUUGAGAAAUCAAGGAGAGGAAAGUCCGGGCUCCGCAGAGCAAGAGGGCAGUUAACGACUGCUAAAGGAAACUUUAAGGACAGUGCCACAGAAAAGAAACCGCUACAUGAUGUAGUAAGGGUGAAAAGGCGGUGUAAGAGACCACCAGUUUUUUAGGAGACUAAAAAAGCUAGGUAAACCCCCUUUGGAGCAAGGCUAAAUAGGAAAGGAUAAGGGCUGCUCGUCCAUCUUUCAGGGUAAGUUGCUUGAGACUAUAAGCAAUUAUAGUACUAGAUAAAUGAUUAACGUAUACAAAACCCGGCUUACUUAAUGCC